rnacentral:rRNA from 1 species
GAUGAACGCUGGCGGCGUGCCUAAUACAUGCAAGUCGAGCGAGCAGAUGAAGAGCUUGCUCCUCUGACGUUAGCGGCGGACGGGUGAGUAACACGUGGAUAACCUACCUAUAAGACUGGGAUAACUUCGGGAAACCGGAGCUAAUACCGGAUAAUAUAUUGAACCGCAUGGUUCAAUAGUGAAAGACGGUUUUGCUGUCACUUAUAGAUGGAUCCGCGCCGCAUUAGCUAGUUGGUAAGGUAACGGCUUACCAAGGCAACGAUGCGUAGCCGACCUGAGAGGGUGAUCGGCCACACUGGAACUGAGACACGGUCCAGACUCCUACGGGAGGCAGCAGUAGGGAAUCUUCCGCAAUGGGCGAAAGCCUGACGGAGCAACGCCGCGUGAGUGAUGAAGGUCUUCGGAUCGUAAAACUCUGUUAUUAGGGAAGAACAAAUGUGUAAGUAACUAUGCACGUCUUGACGGUACCUAAUCAGAAAGCCACGGCUAACUACGUG